rnacentral:rRNA from 1 species
UACGUAGGUGGCUAGCGUUGUCCGGAUUUACUGGGCGUAAAGAGCGCGCAGGCGGUCGUUCAAGUCGAGUGUGAAAGCCCCCGGCUCAACUGGGGAGGGUCACUCGAUACUGAUCGACUCGAAGGCAGGAGAGGGAAGCGGAAUUCCCGGUGUAGUGGUGAAAUGCGUAGAUAUCGGGAGGAACACCAGUGGCGAAGGCGGCUUUCUGGGACGGGUACUGACGCUGAGACGCGAAAGCGUGGGGAGCGAAACAGG